UGGGGGCAACCCUGAUCCAGCAAUGCCGCGUGUGUGAAGAAGGCCUGCGGGUUGUAAAGCACUUUCGGUAGGGAAGAGUGGUUUGCGGGUCAAUAGCCUGUGAGCUUGACGUUACCUACAGAAGAAGCACCGGCUAACUCCGUGCCAGCAGCCGCGGUAAUACGUAGGGUGCGAGCGUUGUCCGGAAUUACUGGGCGUAAAGAGUUCGUAGGCGGUUUGUCGCGUCGUUUGUGAAAACCCGGGGCUCAACUUCGGGCUUGCAGGCGAUACGGGCAGACUUGAGUGUUUCAGGGGAGACUGGAAUUCCUGGUGUAGCGGUGAAAUGCGCAGAUAUCAGGAGGAACACCGAUGGCGAAGGCGGCCACCUGGACCAGCACUGACACUGAGGCACGAAAGCGUGGGGAGCAAACAGGAUUAGAUACCCUGGUGGUCCACGCCCUAAACGAUGCGAACUGGACGUUGGGCUCAAUUGAGAGUUCAGUGUCGAAGCUAACGCGUUAAGUUCGCCGCCUGGGGAGUACGGUCGCAAGACUGAAACUCAAAGGAAUUGACG
rnacentral:rRNA from 1 species